CUCCUGAUGGUGUAGUUGGUUCAUCACGUUCGGCUGUAAUUGGCUUUCCAUUUCUGAGAAGUCAGAAAUUCAGUGCUACCAAAAGGUCCCUAGUUCGAUUCUGGGUCAGGAGA